rnacentral:misc_RNA from 1 species
GCCUUAUGACCCUGUAGGAGCUGCCCUUUUUGGUGAUGGAGCUGCAGCUGUAAUCAUUGGAGCCAACACUGUAAUAAACAAGGAGUCUCCUCUCUUGGAGCUUAACUAUGCAGUUCAGCAAUUCUUGCCAGGUACGCAAAAUGUCAUCGAUGGAUGCCUUUCUUAAGAGGGUAUAAAUUUCAAGCUUGGAAGGGACCUUCCUCAGAAGAUAGAAGAUAACAUAGAG